rnacentral:rRNA from 1 species
UACGGAGGGUGCGAGCGUUGUCCGGAAUCACUGGGCGUAAAGGGCGCGUAGGCGGCGCGGGUAGUCAUCGGUGAAAGUUCAGGGCUCAACUCUGAAUCGGCCGGUGAUACUCCCGUGCUCGAGCACUGUAGAGGCAGGUGGAAUUCCGGGUGUAGCGGUGGAAUGCGUAGAGAUCCGGAGGAACACAGUGGCGAAGGCGACUUCCUGGCUGUUCUUGACCGCUGGAGGCGCGAAAGCGUAGGG